GGCGUUAUCGUAUAGUGGUUAAUACGUUAGCCUAACAAGCUAAAGAUCUUCGGUUCGAAUCCGAAUAACGCUA
rnacentral:tRNA from 1 species